UGCGGGUGAUGGAACGUUGGUCCUUGCUGCUCUGCGCUGAGAGGGAGGGGCGGACGCUGGCCUUGUAGAGCGGCGAGUGCG
rnacentral:snoRNA from 1 species